UACGAAGGGGGCUAGCGUUGCUCGGAAUUACUGGGCGUAAAGGGCGCGUAGGCGGACAGUUUAGUCGGGGGUGAAAGCCCGGGGCUCAACCUCGGAAUUGCCUUCGAUACUGGCUGUCUUGAGUACGGGAGAGGUGUGUGGAGCUCCGAGUGUAGAGGUGAAAUUCGUAGAUAUUCGGAAGAACACCAGUGGCGAAGGCGACACACUGGCCCGUUACUGACGCUGAGGCGCGAAAGCGUGGGGAGCAAACAGG
rnacentral:rRNA from 1 species